rnacentral:rRNA from 1 species
AGCGAACGCUGGCGGUAGGCUUAACACAUGCAAGUCGAACGGGCAUCUUCGGAUGUCAGUGGCAGACGGGUGAGUAACACGUGGGAACGUACCCUUCGGUUCGGAAUAACUCAGGGGAACUUGAGCUCAUAGCGGAUACGCCCUUUUGGGGAAAGGUUUACUGCCGAAGGAUCGGCCCGAGUCUGCUUAGUUGGUUGGUGGGGUAAGGGCCUACCAAGGCGACAAUCUGUAGCUGGUCUGUGAGGAAGAGCAGCCACACUGGGACUGAGAUGCGGCCCAGACUCCUACAGGAGGCAGCAGUGGGGAAUAUUGGACAACGGGCUGAGGCCUGAACCAGCCAGGCCGCGAGAGUGAUGAAGGCCUUAGGGUUGUAAAGCUCUUUUGUCCGGGACGAUAAUGACGGUACCGGAAGAAUAAGCCCCGGCUAACUUCGUG